rnacentral:rRNA from 1 species
UACGGAAGGCAGCAGUGGGGAAUAUUGCACAAUGGGCGCAAGCCUGAUGCAGCCAUGCCGCGUGUAUGAAGAAGGCCUUCGGGUUGUAAAGUACUUUCAGUCGUGAGGAAGGUGUUAAGGUUAAUAACCUUAGCAAUUGACGUUAGCGACAGAAGAAGCACCGGCUAACUCCGUGCCAGCAGCCGCGGUAAUACGGAGGGUGCGAGCGUUAAUCGGAAUUACUGGGCGUAAAGGGCACGCAGGCGGUUAAUUAAGUUGGAUGUGAAAUCCCCGGGCUUAACCUGGGAAUGGCAUUCAAGACUGGUUAGCUAGAGUCUUGUAGAGGGGGUAGAAUUCCAUGUGUAGCGGUGAAAUGCGUAGAGAUGUGGAGGAAUACCGGUGGCGAAAGGCGGCCCCUGGGACAAAGACUGACGCUCAUGUGCGAAAGCGUGGGGAGCAAACAGGAUUAGAUACC